rnacentral:rRNA from 1 species
AACAGUCAUGCCGCGUGAAGGAUGAAGGCCCUCUGGGUCGUAAACUUCUUUUAUUAGGGAAGAAACCUCAAGAUGCGUCUUGAGCUGACGGUACUUAAUGAAUAAGGAUCGGCUAACUUCGUGCCAGCAGCCGCGGUAAGACGAAGGAUCCAAGCGUUGUCCGGAUUUACUGGGUUUAAAGGGUGCGUAGGCGGAAAAUUAAGUCAGUGGUGAAAGCCCGCAGCUCAACUGUGGAACUGCCAUUGAAACUGGUUUUCUUGAAUAUAGCUGAGGCAGAUGGAAUAUAACAUGUAGCGGUGAAAUGCUUAGAUAUGUUAUAGAACACCGAUUGCGAAGGCAGUCUGCUAAACUAUUAUUGACGCUGAGGCACGAAAGCGUGGGGAGCGAACAGGAUUAGAUACCCUGGUAGUCCACGCCCUAAACGUUGAUUACUCGCUGUUGGCGAUAUACUGUCAGUGGCUAAGCGAAAGCAUUAAGUAAUCCACCUGGGAAGUACGACCGCAAGGUUGAAACUCAAAGGAAUUGACGGGGGCCCGCACAAGCGGAGGAGCAUGUGGUUUAAUUCGAUGAUACGCGAGAAACCUUACCUGGGCUUAAAUGUCAGGUGAAC